rnacentral:lncRNA from 1 species
GCUGGACAGAACAAAAAGCAAAGAUUAGGAAAGAGAAGGCAAGUCAGAAUAAAUUUGAAAGGAAUACCUGGAACAUCACGAGCUUACCUGAAAUGCCAGGCCGUGUGGUAUUGUCCGAAGGAGGGGUAGGUCCUUUUCUUUUUCUUCUGCCAGAAAGAGCGGCCUCGGCAGGAGUUUGUUCUACCUGAACCUCAUCUUCUUCAUCUAUAGAAGGAAGCUCCAAGUCCC